ensembl:snoRNA
GGGCAUGCAUGUAGACCUUGCCCGGCUCUCUGUGGCCAGCCAAGGGGGACAGUGUGUGCCAGAGCGAUGUGGAGCUCCUGCCAGCUCUGGCCGGCCGAACCCAUGGCCGGGGGUCCCACAGGGCUCCGACAUUG